rnacentral:misc_RNA from 1 species
UUUCCGUAGGUGAACCUGCGGAAGGAUCAUUACUGAGUUAGGGUCUUUAUGGCCCGACCUCCAACCCUUUGUUUAAUCUACCAUGUUGCUUUGGCAGGCCCGCUUAGAAAUGGGCCGCCGGAGACCUGUGAGUCUCUGGUCAGUGCCUGCCAGUAGCCUUUCUAAAUUCAUUUAUAACCGUGUCUGAAUAUACAAAGAAAAAUUAAAAUAAAACUUUCAACAACGGAUCUCUUGGUUCUG